UACGGAAGGGGCAAGCGUUGUUCGGAAUCAUUGGGCGUAAAGGGCGCGUAGGUGGUUCUGUAUGUCUACCGUGAAAGCGUACGGCUCAACCGUAUUUUGUCGGUAGAAACUGCAGGACUUUGAGGCUGGGAGGGGCUGGUGGAAUUCCCUGUGUAGCGGUGAAAUGCGCAGAUAUCAGGAAGAACACCCGUGGCGAAGGCGGUUCUCUGGGACGGUACUGACGCUGAGACGCGAAAGCGUGGGGAGCGAACAGG
rnacentral:rRNA from 1 species